UUUACUAACAUGGAUUCAACCUUGUCCAAUUCCAGCCCUCUAAACAUGAAUAUUUACUAAUUUUAUGCCAAACAUGUCAAAAUAUUCAACUACCCAAACUCAUAUGGCAGCCUUACAAACCACAGUUUAGCAUAAUCCCAAAAUCAUAAUUAGAAUAUUAUACAAACUUAGAUCUUGGACAUGUGAACUCUGAAUCUUACUAGGGAAUAAGGUGUUGAUGCUAACAUUUAGUUACAACUAGAAACAAUGACUACCAAGCUAAUUAACACAUGUAAUGCUAAACAAAAAGAAAUCAAGAUCUGGAAGGAAAGUCCAAUUUCAUUCAAACACAUUGAAUCCUCAACUUCAUUUUGCACUUUCACGGUUCAAAACAUACCUGAAACAACAAAGAAAAAAACCAACAGAACUUCAGCAAGGAAAUCUAAAUGUCAGCAGCUCUUAAAGUAGCAACAAACAACAAUUCAUCAAUCAGCUUUUCAUGUUUUGAACCCCGAAGAAAACAACAAUUUACUCUAACUUUUAAAACCCAAGAAAUAUCAACAAACCAGCUGCAAUAGAACCAGUAUUUGAUGAUUAUUUUUGUAUUAUUUCUUCUAAUUUUGGGACAUAUCUCAGUAUAUAGUUUCAGCCGUUUGCUAACUUUUCAGGUCUCUAAUCUCUCCCUUCACAAUGAAAGAAGCAAACCUUAUAUAGAAAGACGUAGGGUAGCAGAACUGAUUUUAAUAUUACCCCUUCCCCAAAUUUUAUCUAUUCAUUUCAGAUCCCAAGUUUUAGCUUGUUUGUUAAACCAACCCCAAUCCCACCUUCCUGAAAAUUUUCCAGGUAGUUGUGAAAGAUUUUUCCAAUAAAAAUGCCCUAAAUACCCUUUAAACUUCUAUUAUUUACCUUUCACCACAACUGGGAUUUGAAUCCCUUCAAACAACUGAAAAUCCCAAAACCCCCACAACCUUUUGGGCCUUAGUGCUAAUGGGCCUGUCUGCAUGCAAGGCAGGCCCCAAACCAAAUAGAGCCCAAGACAAAAUAAUUUUUCAAAAGAAGAAGCAAGACGAAACGAAACAACAAUAUUUCUGACUAAACGAAUCAGUAAUGAACCAACUCGUUUGGACCAAGGAAUCAUAACAAAAACCAAUCCAAAAAAGUAGACCUAACAGUAAAGAAUUAAACUGAUUUAAAGGCUAAACAAACUAAACCAUAUUAAGAUGCCUAAUAACAAUUAGACGGACUAAAUGACUCUGAGGUCAAGCACAACAAAAAGAAAACUAAAUUUCUUUAUUCUUGAAAGAAAAGGAGAAGAAGAUAAAGAAAAGAAGGGGAACGGAGAGACAGAAAAAGGACCAAGAGAAUAGAAAUACCUAAUACUUUGGGCGGACAUAUGACUUGGAUUAGGCAACACCCCGGUUUUUUCGAUUUAAACCAAAAUGAGUGUUAAUCGACUGCUCUUGUGAGAACAAACAACUAACACUCAUUUCAGGCCAAAUUUGCCUUCAAAGAUUGGAGAACAUGAACCCAGGCCUUUGUAUGAUGAAUCAAGGAUGAGAACAGAUCUAGGGUUUUAUUUUUAGAUCUAAAAUUAAGGGGACAGGUGGAGAUUUUGGGGAAAUCGACACUGACCUAGUGUAUGAGGGAGUAUGAGGAGUGUAUGGUUAAUUUUUUGUAGGGUUGGGAGGUCCACCGCCGCCAAUGGCGAAUUGCGGUGGGCGACGAAUGGUGGUGAGAGAUAGGGUUUGAUGGAGAUGAAGAAUCAGGUAUCCUAGGUUACACUGAUGACAUUCAGACAUUUUUAAGCGAGAAGGGGAAGGCUUUCACAG
rnacentral:lncRNA from 1 species